UUUUGAUGCAGUGGUUAGCAUUGCUGGCUUGCAGUUCCAGGGCUCUGGGUUCAAUUCCUGGGGUACUAUCUGAAUUAAGUUUGUAUAUUCUUCCUUCUUCACAUACAGUAGGUUUCAUUCCAAUACAUUUCCAAUAAACCCACCAGUAUGUUUCUGGACUGUGGCGGGAAACCGGAGCACACGGAGGAACCCAUGUGACCACGAGGAAGCCAUGCAAACUCCACACAGAUAGCACCCCAGGUCCGAAAUUGAACGAUGGUAACCGCUGCGCACCAGGCUGCUGUAUUAUCGCUGAUCAGAAGCGCUAAACCGCGACACCUGCGCUGGUCUCACUCUGGGCGGAGAGCAGUCCCUGCUGUUGAAGCUGUGAUCCCACUCCGGAGUCGGGAGUACGGAUUUCGGAUGAGCCGCUUCCUUCAUUCCUGAGCGCCGAGUUUUCACACACACCCUCCUCGACAGAGCGAGAAACUCCCACCUUGGGGAGCGGGGAAUGAGACGGGGAGCGGAGCAGUCAAGAGCGGGGAGGACGAGCAGCACCAGGGCUGAUAUCAACCCGAAAGGACGGGACCGCAGAAGCCGCAGAGGACCGCAGUCACCCCGCUGCUCUCUGGAGGUGUGUGGCCGUGAGCCCGGCGUGUUGCAGGACUUGCCGACUCGCUGUACCGGGACACACGGAUCUACAGCACCGCUGCCUGGGCCUCUGGGAGGAGAGACAGGGGUCAGAGCUGCUGUCUGCUCUCAGGACAGACUGACGCUCCCAGGCACAGAUCUACAGCACCGCUGCCUGGGCCUCUGGGAGGAGAGACGGGUUAGAGCUGUUAUCCACACCACACUGUCCUCAUGGGAAACUUCAAUACCAAGGACGGGCUCCUCUCUGAAGGUAAGAGCCCGAUAUCUGCGCUCCUGCCCAGUGCGACCCUGUCCACAGGGCCUGCAUGAACACGCACUG
rnacentral:lncRNA from 1 species